GACGAACGCUGGCGGCGUGCUUAACACAUGCAAGUCGAACGGAAAGGCCCUGCUUGCAGGGUCCUCGAGUGGCGAACGGGUGAGUAACACGUGGGUGCUCUGCCCUGCACUUCUUGAUAGGCCUUGAAAACUGGGUCUAAUACCUUAUAGCGGCCAUUUUUUGUGUGAUGGUUGGAAAGUUUUUUCGGUGUUGGAUGAUCUCGCGGGCUAUUAGCUUGUUGGUGGGUUAAUGGCCUACCAAGGCGGCGACGGGUAGCCGGCCAGAGAGGGUGGACGGCCAUAUAGGGACGGAGAGAAGGCCGAGAUGGCGAAGGGAGGAAGAAGUGGGGAAGAUUGAACAAGGGGCGCAAGGCGGAUGAAGAGAGGCCGCGGGGGGGAUGACGGUCUUCGGGGGGUAAAAAACCAGCGGGAGGGAAGAAGCUUGUUGUGACGGUACCUAGAGAAGAAGCACCGGCUAACUACGUG
rnacentral:rRNA from 1 species